AAGCGAUGAUGAAUACACUUUCUCAAAAGAUCCUUAAAUCUCUUCCAUCAAUCAUAUAAUGUCUCCAAUCAAUUUGAGCAAAAGAAGAAAUUUCGUUCCUCAACUU
rnacentral:snoRNA from 1 species